CAGCAGUGAGGAAUAUUGGUCAAUGGGCGAGAGCCUGAACCAGCCAUCCCGCGUGCAGGAUGACGGCCCUACGGGUUGUAAACUGCUUUUGUACGGGAAUAAACCCACGCUCGUGAGCGUGGCUGAAGGUACCGUACGAAUAAGGAUCGGCUAACUCCGUG
rnacentral:rRNA from 1 species